AGAGUUUGAUCCUGGCUCAGAAUCAACGCUGGCGGCGUGCCUAACACAUGCAAGUCGCACGAGAAAGGGGAGCAAUCCCUGAGUAAAGUGGCGCACGGGUGAGUAACACGUGACUAACCUACCUCCGAGUGGGGAAUAACUGAGAGAAAUCUUAGCUGAUACCGCAUAACACUUACGAGUCAAAGCAGCAAUGCGCUUGGAGAGGGGGUCGCGGCAGAUUAGUUAGUUGGCGGGGUAAUGGCCCACCAAGACGAUGAUCUGUAUCCGGCCUGAGAGGGCGCACGGACACACUGGAACUGAAACACGGUCCAGACUCCUACGGGAGGCAGCAGUGGGGAAUUUUGCGCAAUGGGGGAAACCCUGACGCAGCAACGCCGCGUGGAGGAUGAAAUAUCUUGGUAUGUAAACUCCUUUCGAUGGGGAAGAUUAUGACGGUACCCAUAGAAGAAGCCCCGGCUAACUUCGUGCCAGCAGCCGCGGUAAUACGAGGGGGGCAAGCGUUGUUCGGAUUUAUUGGGCGUAAAGGGUGCGUAGGCGGUUUGGCAAGUCUGAUGUGAAAUCUAUGGGCUCAACCCAUAGUCUGCAUCAGAAACUGCCGGGCUUGAGUAUGGGAGAGGUGAGUGGAAUUUCCGGUGUAGCGGUGAAAUGCGUAGAUAUCGGAAGGAACACCUGUGGCGAAAGCGGCUCACUGGACCAUAACUGACGCUGAUGCACGAAAGCUAGGGGAGCAAACAGGAUUAGAUACCCUAGUAGUCC
rnacentral:rRNA from 1 species